UCCCAAACCCCAAAAAACUUAAACAUUUUUUUGAGAUACCCUCCGAUUUACCCUAAUUGUCUCUUCUUCGUAUCUCCAUCGCACACACUACAACACCAUAUUGACCAUAUGUCAUACACCCAUGUUUGUGAAAUAAUAAAGUAGGAGGGGAAAUGAGAGUUGAUCAGAAGUGGACAGGAGGGGAAGAGAGACGUCGGAGUCGGCGUCUAUGAUAAAGAGAAACCAAGGUCUGGUUGAGGCUCGAGACACAAGUUUGAUUGUACAGCGAAAGGAAAAAUCAUCAUUCUUCAAAUCUGAAAUAUUCAGUACAUAUAAUGAAAAUCAGGUUUGCAUCUUCUUCAAAUUCGUUCGAUAAACCUCAUAUUUCUCAAUUUCAACAUUUUCUUGUAGUUAUUUUCCCAUUGCUAUAUUUGCGACGUGUGCGACUUAGAUCCUAGAUUGGCAGGGGCAGACAAACGACAACUUCUCUCUCUCUCUCGAUCUAGAAAGCUUCACCUUUACCUUCACACUUACCACCACUAAACCGCCACCACUUUUGUUUCACUUUAUCUGCAGAACUGUCACACCACCACUGCUUGGAAAUUUAGAGUUGUAAUAGAAUUAUGUUUUGAGGGACUGUUAUUUUGCCCAGUGUUCCUCAAGUAAGCAUCAAUUUUUAUUAGGCUCAAAGUUAAUCAUAUAAACAAGACACAUGGGAAAAGGAUUCAACAGAAUAAGGCGUGAUUUUACCGGAUUUUUUUUACAGUAUUAAACGAGAUACGUAAAUCUAUGGUUGUAUUUUUAAAGUAUGACAACUAAAGUUAUUCAUACCAGUUUCUUUAUUUGUCUUGCAAAAGAUGCCUAAUAGAUUUACAGUCAGGGGUAGUAUGGUCAACCAGUAAACAAAUUUUAAAAAACAUGAGCACGAGUCUGCUUACGAUGGUAUUUUGAUGGAGGGUUUUUAUUUCGUGAGUGUUAUCUCUAUUUGUAAUAUUUUAUACAUACUGAUUGUGUUUCAAUUUAUGAUGUUACAAUGAAGUGACUUUUUUUUAUGAUGGCAAUUUAAUGAAGGGUUUAGGUGACUUUUGGUAAUGUACUUCAAAAGUAUGUAUAGAUUCGGUCAUUAAUAGUAGACAGGUGAAUUGUGAUUUAGCUUUACUUGGAUGCCUUUGUCCUGCUCAAUCUUUUGGUAUCUAUUGGUUUAUUAAAAAAAUGAAGUUUAAAGUUCCAUAAACUAUGACUUAAAUUGAUUAAUUUAUCUUCAUGACAAUUUCAUCAACAUUAUCUUAUGGAGGAGGUGUGCAAACUGCUCGUGUGCCUGGUAUAGAAAGCUAUGGCUAUCAACAACCAUUUAUUAUGGCAACACACAAAGAUUCGUGUAUCCUUCAUACAUGUAAGUUAUGUUUUUUGAUUAGUAGGAUAUUAUAUUUUGAAAAAUCUACCCUUUCAAACUAUAAUUGGAUAUGUUUGUCAUCAGAAUAUAAUAUUCAGAUGAUAAAUGAGGUUAUGUAUCAUACUUUAAACAAAUUUAUUCAGUUAUAAGAAAAAAUAAAAAUAAAAGUACAAUGCUAGAUAUCAAAGUACAUUUUUAUUUCAUGCAAUUAGGAUUAUUAGGGUUUAAGGAGAUAUUAUUGUUCUUUUUGGUGUAGGUAUGGAACAUAUGGGUCAGAAUAUAUCUUAUCCACAGGUUAAUAGUCUUCCAAAGCUCUUAACAAAAGAAAGUUUAUUUAAAUUUAUAAUAAAUCUAACAAGUGAUUUACUUAUUAAUAAUAAGGCGUAUACAACCCUUAUUCAAGCCAAUGCAAUAUACAGAUUGUAUAAUACAUUGUUAGGUCAUCAAAUUGUGCAAUUUGGUGGGUCCAUUAGUUUUGUGUGUUGUCUUUCCUCCAGCUCCAAGUACCAAAUAUGAUAUCACCUCAAUACAAUGAACUUCAAAACUCAAAGAAGCAGAAAACAACUUUCAUGUCAACCAAUACCUUUCUCAAGAAGACAAAGAAAAUUAUCAACAAGAUGAAUGCAUAGUUAUGUCUAGUUUUUGGUUUAUGAUGUUUUUGCUUUUUUUUACCAUAUUUUUAUACUUAUAAUUAGUAUAAUUUUUUUCUAUUUUAAUUAGGAAUUUUAUGUAUGAAUUUUCAUAUCAAUUAUUAAUAAUAUCGAAUUCUUAACUUUUAUAUUGUU
rnacentral:lncRNA from 1 species